rnacentral:rRNA from 1 species
UACGUAGGGGGCGAGCGUUGUCCGGAGUUACUGGGCGUAAAGCGCACGUAGGCGGCUUUCUAAGUCGGAGGUGAAAUCCUGGAGCUCAACUCCAGAACUGCCUUCGAUACUGGAGAGCUCGAGUCCGGGAGAGGUGAGUGGAACUGCGAGUGUAGGUGAAAUUCGUAGAUAUUCGCAAGAACACCAGUGGCGAAGGCGGCUCACUGGCCCGGUACUGACGCUGAGGUGCGAAAGCGUGGGGAGCAAACAGG